rnacentral:lncRNA from 1 species
GAAGCCAAGGAAACAUAUGCCCACACCUCAAGUGAGAGGUCUGAUUCUCAAGACAAAUCUAGUGGCAGUUCUGAAUCUGAAGGUGAAGAAGAUGUUAGCUCCUCAGACUGAGUUGUGGUGAUGAUGGUCCCCCUGUUAUAUGAUAUGUGUUCUGGAUGCUUGGAUGCUUUGAUGCUUGCUGUUUAAUGUUUGUAGUUUUU